rnacentral:rRNA from 1 species
UUCCUUUUUUUUAAAAGGUAUUYUUUGCUCCAUGAAAAAAAUUUUAAAUAGCCGCAGUACUCUAACUGUGCUAAGGUAGCAUAAUAAUCUGUCUCUUAAUUAGAUUCCUGUAUAAAUGAGAUCACGACGCUUUUACUUUUCUAAAAAUUUUAAUAAAAACUAAUAUUUGUUUCAAAAAAAACAACUCCCCGGGGAGACGACAAGACCCCGUGAAACUUUAUUUUUAACUUAUCUCUACCUUUAGAAUUUAUAGUUAUAAAAAAAAAAUUAAGCUGGGGCGGCAUUAAAAAGACUUUUAUACAAAAAACAAAAAAAAUUUCUGACUAAAUAGAUCUUAUUUUAAAUAAAAGAUAAAAUAAGUUACUCCGGGGAUAACAGCACAAUUUUUUUAGAUAGACCAGAUAGAUAAAAAAGACUUGUGACCUCGAUGUUGAAUUGGAGAGCCAGGGCUGAGCAGAAAAAACCUUUGGAGGUCUGUUCGACCUUUAAUCCUUC